rnacentral:lncRNA from 1 species
UCAUGUAAUCAUUCAUUUAAUAAAUAUAUGUUUAGUAACCAAUCUGUGCCAAACCCAAGGCUAGAUCCUGGGAAAAGAAAAACAAGUGGGACACAUCCUUGCCCUCUGCAGCUCUCAGUCACGCUGGGGAGACCAACAGGAAGCCAACUAUGGUGUGCUUCAAAACAGAAUGAAAUUGGAGAGGGGGAUCCAAGCAAAGGGUCCCGGCAGACAGAUGAAGAAGGUGGUUGUGGAAAGCUUCAUGGAGAGAGACCCUUGCCUGGCCCUGAAGAACUGCUGUAUUUAAAUGGAUACGAAAGUCAGGGCAAUGAAUGGGGCUCAGACCAGGAGUUGGAUGGACCCAUUAUCAAUUCACAAAAGUUCAACUACAUUCGACUACUUCAAGGAGAAAAAUUAUGUAAAGCAAUAAUCACGAUUAUCAAGAGAAAAAAAUUGUGAAUUGUGAGCAACCUGGGGACAAAAACUCAAACUUGUUUUAUCUUCAGUUCCUGACACAGCAACUCAUAGGCAUUAAGAACUCAGUGAAUAUUGAAUGGAAGAACAAACCAAGAAAUGAAUGAAGGAGUGAGUGAACGAGUGACUAUAUUAAGCAUUAGUUAAUAAGAGAUGAGGAAAAGGAAGCUGUCAUUGAGUGUCCACUGUGUGUCAAAUUCUGUGCUAAUUGUUUAAAUCUAUUCAUCAAUAAAAAGAAAUUUCCCAUUUG